UGGGGUCUCUGACAAGCACAAUUUACAUUGAGCUCGCCCUGCGCUGCUAUUUACUUUGAAACCUGAUUAGUAUUAGUCUAUUGUCACAAACAGAGGAGGAAACCCUGGAUAGAAUGGCCGAAAUAAGGGUAAAAGCGAGGACAAAGCUUUGUGCACGUGAAAUAAACAAACGUGCUAGGCGAAAGGGACUGGCAUAGAAUUCCUCAAAGUUUUAAAGGAUACUGUGUUCCUGAUGGAGAUUUCAAACGGAGCAGCUGGUGCCUGUUUUGUAGAUUUAGGAAAGACAUUCCAGGGUAAAAUCACUUAAAAUGAGUGGAACUUAGCACAAAUAACAUUGACACGGGGUAGUUUGAAUAUGACAACAUUUCGCCCACAUGGUAACCAAAGCCACCAGAAGUGUAUUCAGUGUGCUUACAAGCCUGGUGCGCCGACAUGCAUCCCAUAAUAGCCGAACUUAAAUAGAGUAUAGGGUAUGUGAAAAUAAAGUGAAUAGUUUAUGAAUACCUUUGUUAUGUCUGUCCGAGUGUAGUCAGCUAUUAAAAGAUAAUGGAGCGCAAAUAUGCAAGUACCCCCCUUGUUAACGCAUAGGAGGAAUGGGUGUUUUUAAGUAUUCAACAACAGAACUCUUCCCGUCCCUGUCUCGGACACUGCACGGAGACUCCCGGUCAUGUCUCCAGCUCUUUGAAAAGAUCGGGAAGAGAGCUGGACGGAGAGAGAGAAAGAGAGAGAGGGGUGACAGUGAAUGAGAGCAGCGAGAAGAAGGCUAUAGCACGAAAACAGGAGAGAAAAAGAGAACGUGGACAGCAGGGUAUUAAAAGAAGAAGCACUCAGCGACAACUAUUAGGCUAUAGUGGAUGGGAAACAUCGGUACCUGAAUUUG